GGUAUUAGUAGUCAGCGUCAACAAUGUGAAGGCUACUAGCCCCAGUUAUGACAUAGAUGAAAUUCCCAUUCCAUAUGGAACAACAGAAGUCAAUCACCUAAAUACAUGGCCGUUCUUAAUUGGUGGAGUGAUUUGUCUGGUUAAUUCCGAUAACCUACUAAAUAGUAGAUUGGCCUUCUGUGCUCGUUCAGGGCUUGGCUUCUAUUGCUUCUUUAUAGAGUAGUGUGGUCGUGAUCCGGCGGGUACGGUGCCAGCUUUUAUUUAUUAGAGGGACAGACGGCUCAUCGAAGUCGUAAGAAAUUGAGCGAUAAAAGGUCUGGGAUGUCCUUAGAUGUCCGGGGCCACACGUGCGCUACAAUGACGGUGCCAGCGAGUUUGAGAACCUGGCCCGAAACGGUUGGGCAAACUGUUUCAUCACCAUCGUAACUGGGGUCGGUGCUUGCAGUUGUUCCCCGUGAACGAGGAAUUCCUGGUUAGUGCAAGUCAUAAGCUUGCGCUGAUUAC
rnacentral:ncRNA from 1 species